ensembl:lncRNA
CCUCUUGCCAAGCCAUGCUGUGGUAGGCGUCCCACAUAUAAAGAGUAGAGGAAGAUGGGCACUGAUGUUAGCUCAGGGCCAGUCUUCCUCAGCAAAAAGAGGAGGACUGGCAGCAGAUGUUAGCUCAGGGUUUAUCGUCAAGAAAAAAAAACCUAUAUUGUAUUAUGGGGUUUAUAAUAUAUAUAAAUCUAAAGUAUAUUGCACAAUAGUGCAAAAGAAGAAAUGUGUUAAUGGAAUUUUUGGAAACUUCUUAGAUUUUAUAUGCAAAACAUAACACUAAGUCAGCAACGAUAAGUUAAGUAUAUAAUAACUGAGUAAAUUCAGUGAGAUACAGCUAAAAGGUAAAAUAAAAUAGAUAAAUUAGGUAUAUUUUAAUUAAACAAAAUUAUAAUAUUAAAUGAAAUCAACAACAUAUUAACAUAAUUGAAGAAAAGGAAGAAAAGAAACAGAAGAACAAAAAAGGAGAAAAGAAAAACAAAUGGCAUCAUGGUAGACUUAUACAAACACAUUAAAAAUUACAAUAAAAGAAAGUAUACUAAAUACAACAAUUAAAAUAUAGAUAAUCUGGAUAAAAAUGCACGAUGCAACUAUGUGCUAUCUAUAGAAAACGUGGCUUAAAUAUGCAGACACAUAUAUAUUGGUUAGAAGUAAAAAAAUGGAAAAGAAUACACCAUGCAAAGACUAAUCAUAAGCAAGCUAGAGGGCUUACUAACAUCAUUCAAAAUAGACUUUAGGUGAAAAAAUAUUAGUAUGGGUAAAGAAAGACAUUUCAUAAUAAUAAAAGAGUCAGUCAAAGAGGCAUAACAAAACUAAAUACGUGUGCGGUGACUGCAGAUAUACAAAAUACAUGAGGCAAAAACUGAAAGCCCUGAAGGGAAAAAUACAAAAUCAUCGUUGAAGCUUCUAAUGCUCUUCUUUCAGUACUUGGUAAAAACAAUGAUUAAAAAAUCGAUAUGUAGGGGCCAGCCCCGUGGCCAAGUGGUUAAGUUUGCGCGCUCCGCUGCGGCGGCCCAGGAUUUCCCUGGUUCGGAUCCUGGGCGCGGACAUGGCACCACUCAUCAGGCCACGGUGAGGCGGAGUCCCACAUGCCACACCUAGAAGGACACACAACUAAAAUAUACAACUAUAUACUGGGGGGAUUUGGGGAGAAAAAAGCAGAAAAAAAAAAAGGAAGAUUGGCAACCGUUGUUAGCUCAGGUGCCAAUAAUAAAAAAGAAAAAAUCGAUAUGUAUAGAGAUGUAAAAGUAUGCUAUAAUGCAACUUGAUUUAACUGAUCGUUCUAAGGUAUGACAUUUAACUUUGCAGACUACACGAUGCCCCAAAUUGUCUAGAAAAAUUCAAAAGUGAAGAAUCUUACAAAGCAUAUUCUGACAGUAAAAUAAUUAAAUUAAAAAAAUUAAUAUAAAAAGUGUGCAUAUUAAGCACCAUACUCCUAAGGUAACCAACAGGUCAAAGAAAAACUACAAAACAGAAAAAAAAUGAAUGAGUUGAUCAAUUGAAUUGAAUGAUAAUUUGAAAACACAAUAUCAAAAUUUGGGGAAUGCAACUAAUGUUAGGCUUAGAGGUAAAUGUAUAGUUGUCAGUGAUUACGUUAGAAGAGAAAAACGUUUGAAAUCAAUUAUCUCUUUCCAACUUAAGCAACUAGAAAAUGAAGAAAAAAUUAAACUAAAAGUAAGUAGAAAAAAGGAAUGUAGAAAGCAAUUGAAAUCAAUUAAAUAAAAAACAAAUAGUAAAGAUAACAAAGACAAAAAUUUGUUCUUUAUAAUAAACCUGUCUGACUAAGAAAAAAAUAGGUAGUGAAAAAGUACAGAUUUAAUUUCAGAUCUUAUAGAUAUUUUAAGUUUAUACCAGUAAAUUUGACCUCUCAGAAGAAAAAGACAAAUUCCUUAAACACAAUUAAAUAGAAAAAUCUGAAUAGUAUUACAUCUGAUAAAGAAAUUGAAUUCAUAAAUUAUAAACCUUUCCACAUAGAAAACUCAAGGCAUAGAUGAUUCCACUGAUAAACUCUAUCAAGCAUUUCAAGAAGAAAAAAUACCAAUCUUAAACAAAAUCCUUUAGAUAAUAGAGGAAUAAGCUGAACUUCCUAACUCAUUUACAAGGCCAGCCUUACAAAACUUUACAGGAAAAGAAAAUUAGACAAAUAUCACACAUGAAUACAGAUAUAAAAAUCCCCUUAACAAAACAUUAACUAAUUUAAUGGAGUAAUAUAUAAAAAGCAUAAUACAUAAUGGCAAAAUGGGUUGUACUCAAGAAUGUAAGUUCCAUCUAUCAUUUAGAAAUCAAUCAUUGUAAUUCCAUAGUAACAAAAUAAAAGAGAAAAAAAUCAUAUGGUUACCUCAAUAGAUAUAGAAAAAUUACUCAAUGAAAUCCAACAGUAAUUCAUGGUAAAUACUCUUAACAAACUGAGAAGAGAAAGGAACAUCCUCAGUCUGAAAAGGAGCAUCAAUGAUAAGCCUAUACCUGACAUCACAAUUAAUGAUGAAGCACUGAACACUUUGCUUCCAAGAUUAGGAAGAGAACGUUUGUUUUCACCACUUCUAUUAAGCGUUACACUGAAGAUCAAGACUAGUGCAAUAAGUCAACGAAAACAAAAACAAAAAACAACGUAUACAAAGAUCAGAAAAAAGAAGCAAAAAAAAAAAACCUGAGGAAAUUAACAAAAACUAGAACUAAGUGAAUAUAGGAAGAUUAUGGACACAAAAUAUAAAAACAAAUUGUAUAUCUUCAUACAGGAAGGAAAAGUAUGGUGCAUAAAAUUAAAAAUAAACGUGUUAUUUAAAAUAGUAUUGAAAAUCCAAAAUAUUUAUGAAUAUAUUAGGCAAAAGAUGUGUAAGAACUCUUACUCUGAAAAGCACCAAAAAAGUACUGAAAAGUUAAAGAAAUCAUGAACAAGUAAAGAAAUAUACAAUAUUCAGGGAUUGGAAGAUUUAAUAAUAUGAAAAUGCUAAUUCUCCCAAGAUUCAUGUAUCAAUUCAAUGCAAUCCCAGUCAAAACUCUGCCAAUAAAUUUGAAAUCUCAGAAACAAUGACAAAUUCCUUCAAAGCCACAGGAUUUUUGUAGAAACUAACAAGCAAAUUCUAUUGUUUUAACGAAAUUCAGAAGACUCAGAAUGGCCAGAACAAUUUUCAAAGAGAAUAGUAAAGUUAGAGGACAUACACUACAGGAUUUUAAUAACACUAAAAAUACAGUAAUCAUGAUCUUGUGGUAUCAUCAUAAGGACAGACAUAUAAAUGAAUGGAACAGAAUAAAGAGCGUAGAAAUAGAUACACACAUAUGUGGUCAACUGAACUUCAACAAAGUUGCUAAUACAAUGUAAUGGAUAAAGGAUUGCUUUUCAAUGCAUUUUUCUGGAACAACUAUAUAGAAAAAAUAAACUUUGACCCUUAACUCAUAAUAUGAACAAAAAUUAAUUAGAAAUAUACCUAAAAUAAAUAAAAGCCCAUAAAUUAAGGAGCAAAAUAUUUAAAAAGACUCUUCACCAAAGAAGAUAUUUGAAUGGUAAGUAAACUCAUAAAAAGUUAUUCAAUAUCAAUAGUAAUCAAGGAAAUAGAAAAUAAAAUAACAGAAAGGUGUCCAUUAAGGUAAUUAAAAUUAAAGAAUGACUUUAAGUGUUGGUGAGGAUGAGAAGCAUCUGGAACUCUCAUAUAAUGGUACAACCAUUUCAGAAUUUUCUUUGGCAUUUUCUUUAAAAGUUAAACAUAUCCCUGCCGUAUGGCAUAGUCAUUCUCCUCCUAAGUAUUUAUCCAAGAAAAAUAAAAACCUACGUCCAAAAGAAUUCUUAUACACAAUAUUUAUAUUAGCUAUAUUAAAAUAGCCAAAAAGUGAAAACAACUACAUCAUCAGUCUGCCAGUAAAUAGACAAAUAGAUUUUAAUGCAUACACAAAAUGGAAUUUUACUUAGAAAAAAAGA